rnacentral:tRNA from 1 species
UGGGAUAUAGCUCAGUGGCAAAGCGUUUGACCCACAAAUGCAACGUCCUGGGUUCAAUCCCCAGUACCCCAU